rnacentral:rRNA from 1 species
UACAGAGGGUGCGAGCGUUAAUCGGAAUUACUGGGCGUAAAGCGCACGUAGUCGGCUUUGCAAGUCGGGUGUGAAAGCCCCAGGCUUAACCUGGGAAGUGCACUCGAAACUGUAGGGCUUGAGUAUGGAAGAGGGUCUCGGAAUUCCCGGUGUAGAGGUGAAAUUCGUAGAUAUCGGGAGGAACACCAGUGGCGAAGGCGGAGACCUGGGCCAAUACUGACGCUGAGGUGCGAAAGCGUGGGGAGCAAACAGG